UUCACUCCUAAAAAUGAAGUCCUUGUCUCAGCUCCUGUGGCUGUUAAUGCUCUGGAUCCCUGCAUCAAGUGGAGAUGUUGUGCUGACCCAGACUCCCCUCUCCCUGUCUGUCAUGCUGGGAGAGCCGGCCUCCAUCUCCUGCAAGUCUAGUCAGAACCUCCUAUAUAGCAAUGGAAAUACCUAUUUGAAAUGGUUCUUGCAGAAACCAGGCCAGUCUCCAAAACUCCUGAUCUAUGAGGUCUCCAACCGAUUUCCUGGGGUCCCAGAUAGAUUCAGUGGCAGUGGGUCUGGCACAGAUUUCACUCUCAAAAUCAGCAGGAUGGAUAUUGAGGAUAUUGGAGUUUAUUACUGCUUUCAACAUACACAUUGGCCUCCCACAGUGAUAUAG